AUGGGGGUGGAGGCAGGCGCUCCUGGUUCUAGGUCGAGGAAGAGGAAAGCAACGGCACGCGAGGCGGCCGCCCCGGCGCCGGCGCCGACGCCUGCGGAGGCGCCCGCCGCGGAACCUACAUCGGAGGACCGUGGACAGCAGAUUCCCGGAUCCGAUGCGGACGGAGGAGGCGCCGGCGUGGAUCGCAUCAGCGACCUCCCCGACGAGGUCCUCGGGGAGAUCGUCUCGCUCCUCCCCACCAAGGAAGGCGGCCGCACCCAGGUCCUCGCCUCCCGGUGGCGCCGCCUCUGGCGCACCGCCCCGCUCAACCUCGACCACCGUUCCUUCUUACGCGACGAGGAGGGCCUCGAUGCCGCCAUAUCGCGCGUCCUCGCCGCCCACCAGGGCCCCGGCCGCCGCUUCUCCGCCCCCGUCUACCACCUCGCCGGCGACCGAGCGGAUGCCUGGCUCCGGUCCCCCGCCCUCAACAACCUCCAGGAGCUCGAGCUGUGCAGCUUCAAUCAUAAGUUACCGCGUCCACCGGCAACGGUGCAGAUGCCGCCCUCGGCCGCCUUCCGCUUCUCCGACACCCUCUGUGUUGCCAUCAUUGGAGAUUGCCACCUUCCCGACGACAUCAUUCAAGCGCUUCACUUCCCUAAGCUUCAGAAGCUCGCGCUUCAGAGCGUCAGCAUAUCCGAAUCCUCGCUGCACACCAUGAUUGCCGCUUGCCCCGCUCUGGAGUGCUUGCUUAUUAAGAACAGUGGGGGCUUCCGUUGUGUCAGAAUCAACUCCAUUACCCUUAGAAGCAUUGGUGUGAGCGGUUAUAGCAAUCGGCUAGAGACCAAAUUUAAGGAACUCAUCAUCGAGAAUGCCCCUUGUCUUGAAAGCUUGCUCACACUUGGUUCAUGCGAGUGCCGUCUUAUAUCGGUAAUCUCCGCGCCUAAACUCGAGGUCAUGGGCUGCCUUUCUACUCAUUAUGGUAUUAGAAUCUCGUUUGACUCGGCACCGUUCGACUCGACGGUUAUUCAGCGAAUGGGUGUUGACCGCCUGACGGCAGCGGUGCGCACUGUCAAGAUUUUAGCUAUCCUUAUGCAUUCUCUUAGUCUUGAUGUUGUUCUUGACUUGAUGAGAUGCUUCCCGUGCUUGGAAAAGUUGUACAUUGAGUCAAGUGGACCAGGGAUUAGCAACCUAUGGCGUCGUAAACACCGGGCUCUUAUAAGAUCACUUGACAUCCGUCUGAAGACUAUUGUUAAUGUUGAAGAUUUCAACGAGGAUUUUUUUGCACAACAUCAUAAGAAGCUUCAGGUGGAUAGUAGGGCCUCAAGAGGUGCUCGGAUUCGUUUUACUACCGAUUGGUGCUAUAAUUACCAUAUGAAGUUUAGUGUCCAUGAUUUGGGUCGAGCUGACCCCUUUGAAAGGACACACCCUUUGCAAGGAGAUACCAUAUUUGAGCUUUGCUAA
rnacentral:rRNA from 1 species